CUGCAAUCCUGGGAAGCUAGGACUGUAGGGGCCUAAGGUCUCUACAAGGUUCAGCUCAUCUCCAUUCAUCAGCAUCCUUUUACACCAGAAUUUUCUAAGAGAAAGAUGGGAAGAAAGAUGGAAGGGAAAAUAAGAACAGAGAGAAAAAGAGGGAAAGUAAUGAAGGAAGUAAGUGAAAAGGAAGAGACAGAGAGGAAGCAGGAAAAUGGAAGUGCCUUGUGAAGAAUGAGAGUGUAAGGGAAGGCUCUACUAUGCUUUUUGUUUAAGGUUAUGAAGAUUGAAAGGAAACAGUAUUCAUCUUUAUUUUCUAUGUUUUUCCUAUUUGUAAGAAACUACUUAUUUCCUUACUAAACUCCAUAAGCUUAACUGCACAAAAACUUGUUUCCACUGCACAAAAUGUUUCUAACUUCAUGACAGAAUAAACCUUGUUUCAGCUUCA